rnacentral:rRNA from 1 species
UACGUAGGGGGCUAGCGUUGUCCGGAAUCAUUGGGCGUAAAGAGCGUGUAGGCGGCCCGGUAAGUCCGCUGUGAAAGUCGGGGGCUCAACCCUCGAAUGCCGGUGGAUACUGUCGGGCUAGAGUGCGGAAGAGGCGAGUGGAAUUCCUGGUGUAGCGGUGAAAUGCGCAGAUAUCAGGAGGAACACCAGUGGCGAAGGCAGCUCGCUGGGACGGUACUGACGCUGAGGCGCGAAAGCGUGGGGAGCGAACAGG